CUGCUUUGAAAUUGAGGCAAUCGUUUUCAGCCGGAUGGUUACCCCCUGUGCUAGUGGAAGAUGUGACUUUGAAGACAGUCAUUGUAAAAGGUGCAAAAGGCUUGUCUAAGAUAAGCUGGCAGUCUACACCGCAUGGCCUGCGUUGCUGACAUUAAGUGAAGUUAAUGCAGAGUUCCUGUGCCUGACAGAUACUUGAGGAAGCAUCUUGGAGGUUGUCAAGGAGAAGGGAGGCGUUGCCAGAAGGAAGGACUGGAGUGGCGAAGUGAUCCAAAGGCAGACUGCACAUCUACGUAUAUGAUUUGCAAGGAACAUCCCGUGCCAGAGACUGUGAUACAAGGCAUGGAGCUGUACAGUGAACUCGGAGCAUCUCUUGUGCAUGUGUGAUGCUGUUUGGACUCGGUUACCGGUAUAUACCCUCAAUCUCAACUCUGUGGAUUUGGAUUUACAAUUUUAAGUAUCCAGAUGAACUGAAAUAUAUGUUCUGGUGAAUUUGGAAAAUAUGCCCAAAAGGUCCAAUCACUAUAAACUACAGUAAAUAUGUUGGACACUGGCAAUCUCAGGUUCUAAGCCAUUGUAUAAAAGGACAAUCCAUCGCAUUUCUAUUAAUACUUUUGUGUGCUGUUCUCUGAUCUGAGUUGAUGAUUUUUUUGUCCUUUUUUGUCUUUUGUCAGCAUGGCAUUGAGUAUCAUUGAGGGGCUUUUUUCUAAACAUUGGCUAUGCAGAUUAAAAGAUGAGCACUAUAAGGAAAGGCGUAAUAACGCCUCAGUAGCACUUCAUGGACACAUUGAUAUCAUAAUUAAAAACAUUUCUCUCUCCCUCUCCUCCCCCACUUUGAGAAAGAAUCAAAGAGUCAAAAGUGCUCCUGCGGGCAGUUGGUUAAUUCUAAAAUGUCCAUUCACAAAUAACAUCUUUUUCAUGAAUGUCUAAGUAAAUAAGUGAGUAAAUAGACACAUACUGUUCUGAUGAGAGUAUGCUUUUCGGCCAAAGAUAUCUGACUGCAUAUCUGACCCAAGGGAUUAUGACAUUACUUAGAAUUUGAUGGUGGUUGUAAGCAUUCAUGAAAAAGAUGACAUUUCUGAACAGGCCACAUUAAUUAAUGUGUUACAGUACACUGAUAAUUUCAGGUUUUCUGUUUAAUUUCUGUUUAAUCAUACGAUUAUAUUGUCAAGAUUUUGGUGUUUUAUUGUCGUUUGACUGCAUGUUU